rnacentral:rRNA from 1 species
AGAGUUUGAUCAUGGCUCAGAACGUACGCUGGCGGCACGCCUAACACAUGCAAGUCGAACGCAGUAGCAAUACUGAGUGGCAGACGGGUGAGUAACAUGUGGGAAUCUGCCUUGUGGUUCAGGACAACAUUGGGAAACCGAUGCUAAUACUGGAUAAGCCCUUACGGGGAAAGUUUUAAUGCCAUAAGAUGAGCCCGCAUUUGAUUAGUUAGUUGGUGAGGUAAUGGCUCACCAAGACAAUGAUCAAUAGCUGAUCUGAGAGGAUGAUCAGCCACACUGGGACUGAGACACGGCCCAGACUCCUACGGGAGGCAGCAGUGGGGAAUCUUGCACAAUGGAGGAAACUCUGAUGCAGCGAUGCCGCGUGAGUGAAGAAGGCCUUUGGGUUGUAAAGCUCUUUUGUAGGGGAAGAUAAUGACUGUACCCUAAGAAUAAGGUCCGGCUAACUUCGUGCCAGCAGCCGCGGUAAUACGAAGGGACCUAGCGUAGUUCGGAAUUACUGGGCGUAAAGCGCGCGUAGGCCGUUGAGUUAGUUAAUUGUGAAAUCCCAAAGCUUAACUUUGGAACUGCAAUUAAAACUGCUCGACUAGAGUUUGAUAGAGGAAAGCGGAAUACAUAGUGUAGAGGUGAAAUUCGUAGAUAUUAUGUAGAACACCAGUUGCGAAGGCGGCUUUCUGGAUCAACACUGACGCUGAGGCGCGAAAGUAUGGGUAGCAAAGAGGAUUAGAUACCCUCGUAGUCCAUACCAUAAACGAUGAUUGCUAGAUGUUGGAAAUUUAUUUUCAGUAUCGCAGCUAACGCAUUAAGCAAUCCGCCUGGGGAGUACGACCGCAAGGUUAAAACUCAAAUGAAUUGACGGGGACCCGCACAAGCGGUGGAGCAUGUGGUUUAAUUCGAAGAUACGCGCAGAACCUUACCAACCCUUGACAUGUCUGUCGCGAGUUUAGGAAACUAGACUUUUCGGUUCGGCCGGACAGAACACAGGUGCUGCAUGGCUGUCGUCAGCUCGUGUCGUGAGAUGUUGGGUUAA